UACGGAGGGGGUUAGCGUUGUUCGGAAUUACUGGGCGUAAAGCGCGCGUAGGCGGAUUAGUCAGUCAGAGGUGAAAUCCCAGGGCUCAACCCUGGAACUGCCUUUGAUACUGCUAGUCUUGAGUUCGAGAGAGGUGAGUGGAAUUCCAAGUGUAGAGGUGAAAUUCGUAGAUAUUUGGAGGAACACCAGUGGCGAAGGCGGCCAUCUGGACGGUGACUGACGCUGAGACUCGAAAGUGUGGGUAGCAAACAGGAUUAGAUACCCUGGUAGUCCACACCGUAAACGCUGUCUACUAACUGUUUGUGGAUUUAAUCCGUGAGUAGUGAAGCUAACGCGAUAAGUAGACCGCCUGGGGAGUACGGUCGCAAGAUUAAAACUCAAAGGAAUUGACGGGGACCCGCACAAGCGGUGGAGUAUGUGGCUUAAUUCGAUGCAACGCGAAGAACCUUACC
rnacentral:rRNA from 1 species